CACUCUAGAGAGACUGCCAGGGAUAACCUGGAGGAAGGUGGGGAUGACGUCAAAUCAUCAUGCCCCUUAUGCUUAGGGCUACACACGUGCUACAAUGGGUAGUACAGAGGGUUGCCAAGCCGUAAGGCGGAGCUAAUCCCUUAAAGCUACUCUCAGUUCGGAUUGUAGGCUGAAACUCGCCUACAUGAAGCUGGAGGUACUAGUAAUCGCAGAUCAGAAUGCUGCGGUGAAUGCGUUCCCGGGUCUUGUACACACCGCCCGUCACACCACGGGAGUUGGAGACGCCCGAAGCCGAUUAUCUAACCUUUUGGAAGAAGUCGUCGAAGGUGGAAUCAAUAACUGGGGUGAAGUCGUAACAAGGUAGCCGUAUCGGAAGGUGCGGCUGGAUCACCUCCUUUCUAAGGAGA
rnacentral:rRNA from 1 species